rnacentral:rRNA from 1 species
GACGAACGCUGGCGGCGUGCUUAACACAUGCAAGUCGAACGGAAAGGCCCUGCUUUUGUGGGGUGCUCGAGUGGCGAAAGGGUGAGUAACACGUGAGUAACCUGCCCUUGACUUUGGGAUAACUUCAGGAAACUGGGGCUAAUACCGGAUAGGAGCUCCUGCUGCAUGGUGGGGGUUGGAAAGUUUCGGCGGUUGGGGCUGGACUCGCGGCUUAUCAGCUUGUUGGUGGGGUAGUGGCUUACCAAGGCUUUGACGGGUAGCCGGCCUGCGAGGGUGACCGGCCACAUUGGGACUGAGAUACGGCCCAGACUCCUACGGGAGGCAGCAGUGGGGAAUAUUGCACAAUGGGCGGAAGCCUGAUGCAGCAACGCCGCGUGCGGGAUGACGGCCUUCGGGUUGUAAACCGCUUUCGCCUGUGACGAAGCGUGAGUGACGGUAAUGGGUAAAGAAGCACCGGCUAACUACGUG